UGCCCUUGUGUUGCCCAUUCACUUUGCAGCUAGUGAAUGUGGUGUCAAAAAGGGCAAACAGUAAAGUCAUUGCAGAGUGUCUGAUGAGCUUUGGAAACUUUCAGAAGCUGUUACUCCUCUCUUUGAAACACUU